GUGAAUGGGACCUGAUUCUCCACUGCCUUGUGCCUUGUGUAGUUGUAUACUCCUGCAUGGUGAGGGCAAAUGGGUGUAAAAUACCACCACAUCGGAACAGUGAGAGACAGAUGUUUCUGCAGAGGACAGGCUGUGAAUAGGGGACUCUAGACAGGGACACCUCCCAUGAGGUGCUGCUCCUGCAUCAUCCACUGGUCUAACUCAGGACCUGCUGCUUCCACUGAAGAUUCCUUUUCACGGCAUCAAUACCGUGGAUCUCCCACAAGUCCCUUCCAAAAGCUGUGGUGGUGGUGGUGGUGGUGGUGAGUGACUUCUCAUUUCUUAAAACAAAAUCUAGAAGAUGUGAUGCUAUGAACUUUUUGGAAAGAGUCUGUUGCUCUCUAACAUGGAAGCACUAUACCUGCUACACUUUGAGUCUAUUUGAAAUUGCCAGUUUGUCCUGCUUGGGUGAAUCUGGUGGCAGGUGAAGGAGGCCCUUAACAUACUUUAAGGUGGACUAUUCAUAUCAUUUCAUGGCACAUGAAACACCAGUGCAUACCUUUUUAUACCUUCACAUGGUCAAAGACUUCCUCACCAAACUCUGUAUGGAUCACUCUCGCAGUGCAUGGCCUUCUAUAGAGGACAUGAAGACAUAGUACCAGCCCCAAAGAGUUUACAGUCCACUUAGAUUUGACAUGAAAUGAUGCAGGGAGAUGUGAUAUCAGACCAGGAGGAG